CCACUGCUGAUGAGUCCCACAAUAGGACGAAACGGCCCGUCCCAGUGC
rnacentral:hammerhead_ribozyme from 1 species